UACGUAGGGUGCAAGCGUUGUCCGGAAUUAUUGGGCGUAAAGAGCGUGUAGGCGGCCCGAUUAGUCCGCUGUGAAAGUCCAGGGCUCAACCCUGGAAUGCCGGUGGAUACUGUCGGGCUAGAGUCCGGAAGGGGCGAGUGGAAUUCCUGGUGUAGCGGUGAAAUGCGCAGAUAUCAGGAGGAACACCAAUGGCGAAGGCAGCUCGCUGGGACGUGACUGACGCUGAGACGCGAAAGCGUGGGGAGCAAACAG
rnacentral:rRNA from 1 species